UACGUAGGGUGCAAGCGUUAAUCGGAAUUACUGGGCGUAAAGCGUGCGCAGGCGGUUCGCUAAGACCGAUGUGAAAUCCCCGGGCUUAACCUGGGAACUGCAUUGGUGACUGGCGGGCUAGAGUAUGGCAGAGGGGGGUAGAAUUCCACGUGUAGCAGUGAAAUGCGUAGAGAUGUGGAGGAAUACCGAUGGCGAAGGCAGCCCCCUGGGCCAAUACUGACGCUCAUGCACGAAAGUGUGGGGAGCAAACAGG
rnacentral:rRNA from 1 species